rnacentral:rRNA from 1 species
GCAUAUCAAUAAGCGGAGGAAAAGAAACCAACAGGGAUUGCCCUAGUAACGGCGAGUGAAGCGGCAACAGCUCAAAUUUGAAAUCUGGCUCUUUUAGAGUCCGAGUUGUAAUUUGCAGAGGGCGCUUUGGCUUUGGCAGCGGUCCAAGUUCCUUGGAACAGGACGUCACAGAGGGUGAGAAUCCCGUACGUGGUCGCUGGCUAUUGCCGUGUAAAGCCCCUUCGACGAGUCGAGUUGUUUGGGAAUGCAGCUCUAAAUGGGAGGUACAUUUCUUCUAAAGCUAAAUAUUGGCCAGAGACCGAUAGCGCACAAGUAGAGUGAUCGAAAGAUGAAAAGCACUUUGGAAAGAGAGUCAAACAGCACGUGAAAUUGUUAAAAGGGAAGCGCUUGCAGCCAGACUUGCUUGCAGUUGCUCAUCCGGGCUUUUGCCCGGUGCACUCUUCUGUAGGCAGGCCAGCAUCAGUUUGGGCGGUAGGAUAAAGGUCUCUGUCACGUACCUCCUUUCGGGGAGGCCUUAUAGGGGAGACGACAUACUACCAGCCUGGACUGAGGUCCGCGCAUCUGCUAGGAUGCUGGCGUAAUGGCUGUAAGCGGCCCGUCUUGAAACACGGACCAAGGAGUCUAACAUCUAUGCGAGUGUUUGGGUGUCAAGCCCGAGCGCGUAAUGAAAGUGAACGGAGGUGGGAACCCGCAAGGGUGCACCAUCGACCGAUCCUGAUGUCUUCGGAAGGAUUUGAGUAAGAGCAUGGCUGUUGGGACCCGAAAGAUGGUGAACUAUGCUUGAAUAGGGUGAAGCCAGAGGAAACUCUGGUGGAGGCUCGCAGCGGUUCUGACGUGCAAAUCGAUCGUCAAAUUUGGGCAUAGGGGCGAAAGACUAAU